rnacentral:tRNA from 1 species
GGUCCGGUGGUGUAGUGAUUAUCACGUCUGCUUUACACGCAGAAGGUCCCCGGUUCGAGCCCGGGUCGGAUCA